rnacentral:rRNA from 1 species
AACGAACGCUGGCGGCAGGCUUAACACAUGCAAGUCGAGCGCCCCGCAAGGGGAGCGGCAGACGGGUGAGUAACGCGUGGGAACGUACCCUUUUCUACGGAAUAACCCAGGGAAACUUGGACUAAUACCGUAUACGCCCUUCGGGGGAAAGAUUUAUCGGAGAAGGAUCGGCCCGCGUUGGAUUAGCUAGUUGGUGGGGUAAAGGCCUACCAAGGCGACGAUCCAUAGCUGGUCUGAGAGGAUGAUCAGCCACAUUGGGACUGAGACACGGCCCAAACUCCUACGGGAGGCAGCAGUGGGGAAUAUUGGACAAUGGGCGCAAGCCUGAUCCAGCCAUGCCGCGUGAGUGAUGAAGGCCUUAGGGUUGUAAAGCUCUUUCACCGGGGAAGAUAAUGACGGUACCCGGAGAAGAAGCCCCGGCUAACUUCGUGCCAGCAGCCGCGGUAA